UUCUCUGCUCCUUUUGGAAUCUCCGCCUGGUUCAGCCCACCUGCCUCCACUCCUGCCUCCACCAUGUCCAUCAGGGCGACCCAGAAGUCCUAGAAGGUGUCCAUCUCUGGCUGCCGGGGCUUCAGCAGCUGCUCCUACAUCAGCUCCUUGAGGUUCUCCUGAGUGGGUAGCAGCAGCUUCUGGGGUGGCCUGGGUGGAGGCUGUGAUGGGGCCAGAGGCAUGGGAGGCAUCACUGCCAUCAUGGUCAACCAGAGCCUUCUGAGCCCCCUUAAGCUGCAGGUGGACCCCAACAUCCAGGCCAUGUGCACCCAGGAGAAGGAGCAGAUCAAGACUGUCACAACAAGUUUGCCUCCUUCAUCGACAAGGUGCGGUUCCUAGAGCAGCAGAACAAGAUACUGGAGACCAAGUGGAGCCUCCUGCAGCUGCAGAAGACAACUUGAAGCAACAUGGACAACAUGUUCCAGAGCUACAUCAACAACCUUAGGUGGCAGCUGGAGACUCUGGGCCAGGAGAAGCUGAAGCUGGAGGCGGAGUUUGGCAACAUGCAGGGUCUGGUGGAGGACUUCAAGAACAAGGACAAGGAUGAGAUCAAUAAGCGUACAGAGAUGGAGAAUGAAUUUGUUCUCAUCAAGAAGGAUGUGGAUGAAGCUGACAUGAACAAGGCGGAGCUGGAGUCUCUCCUGGAAGGGCUGACUGAUGAGAUCCACUUCCUCAGGCAGCUGUAUGAAGAGGAGAUCCAGGAGCUGCAGUCCCCGAUCUCCAACAAGUCUGUGGUGCUGUCCAUGGACAACAGCCGCUCCUGGACAUGGACAGCAUCAUCGCUGAGAUCCAGGCGCAGUAUGAGGAGAUCGCCAACCGCAGCCGGGCUGAGGCUGACACCAUGUACCAGAUCAAGUGUGAGGAGCUGCAGAUGCAGGCUGGGAAGCACGGGGAUGACCUGUGGUGACUGAGAUCUCUGAGAGGAACUAGAACAUCAGCUGGCUCCAGGCUCAGAUUGAGGGCCUCAAAGGCCAGAGGGCUUCCCUGGAGGCUGCCAUCGCGGAUGCCAAGCAGCACAGGGAGCUGGCAUUAAGAAUGCCAACACCAAGCUGUCCAAUCUGGAGGCCGCCCUGCAGCGGGCCAAGCAGGACAUGGCCUGGUAGCUGCGUUGAGUACCAGGAGCUGAUGAACACCGACCUAGCUCUGCACACCGAGAGCGCCACCUACAGGAAGCUGCUGGAGGGCGAGGAGAGCCGUCUGGAGUCUGGGAUGCAGAACAUGAGUAUCCAUACGAGGACCACCAGUGCCUACGCAGGUGUGGGGGCCUCACAAGCCCCGGCCUAAGCUAUAGCCUGGACUCCAGCUUUGGCUCUGGUGUGGGCUCCAGCUCUUUCAGCCGCACCAGCUCUACCAGGGCCGUGGUUGUGAAGAAGAUAGAGACCCGCAAUGAGAAGCUUGUGUCCGAGUCCUCUGACAUUCUGCUCAAGUGAAGAGCCAUGCCUGCCCCUCCUGCGGCUGCUCCAGAGCCGGUGAGUGAACACAGGGAAUGGGAGACCUAUCUGUGACUCAGCCCUAGCCCUCAGCCCACCCACGGGGAAGUCCACUGCCUGGGGCACCCCCCUUGUACCUGCCUCCAGCUACAAAACAUUUUUCCCCCAAAUAAAACCUCAGCUAGCUCUGCCAAAAACAAACAAACAAACUACAUAUUGGAUACAGUGUACACUGCUUGGGUGAUGAGUGCAAUAAAGUCUCAGAAAUAACCACUAAAGAAUUCAUCCAUGUAACCAAAGACCACCUAUGCCCUAAAAACUAUUGGGAAAAAAAAUCCCAGUGGUUAAGGAUGAUGUUUUACAGACAUGUAAAUGUUAUGGGAAAUUAAUUUAAACAAUUCUAAACAAAACCCAAACUCCAGAGAGGCAUUGAAUCAGCUCUAGUCCUAGUCCUAUCUAAACUCCAGCGAAGUGGACCAGGGUUAGGCACUGGAUGUAGAGGCAGUCAAUACAUAUACAGGCUACUCAGUAACACAGGCUGGCCCCCAAAAUGGAGCUGGACUAACUGGAUUUUUGCUCUAGAUAUUUUGAAAUUUAGAACUCAUAAGAAAUG